CAAUAGCGUAUAUUAAAGUUGUCGCAGUUAAAAAGCUCGUAGUUGGAUUUCGGGGCAGCCUGGCUGGUCCGCCGCAAGGCGAGUACUGGUCAGCCGCCCUUCCUCUCGAAAGCCCCGACUGCUCUUCGUUGCAGUGGUCGGGUAGUUCGGGACGUUUACUUUGAAAAAAUUAGAGUGUUCAAGGCAGGCCUACGCCUGAAUACAUUAGCAUGGAAUAAUGGAAGAGGACCUCGGUCCUAUUUUGUUGGUUUCCAGGGCCGAAGUAAUGAUUAAGAGGGACAGUUGGGGGCAUUCGUAUUUAAUUGUCAGAGGUGAAAUUCUCGGAUUUAUGAAAGACGAACAACUGCGAAAGCAUUUGCCAAGGAUGUUUUCAUUAA
rnacentral:rRNA from 1 species